UGUACUCUUUUUUGUGCGCAUCAGCGAUCGCUAAGCCCCUGGGCCUGCGCAACGCUGCUAGCUAGCUGUAUCUUUCGUGCGGUGCGGCGUUGUUGGUCAUCGUAGUUCGGUCCAUUCGUGCUCUUUGUUCCCGGCUCAUUAGCAGCCUCUGGUACUCUCGCCGAUCUCGCAGCGGUUCACAGUGCACGGAAGAAUGUGUUGGAAAUUGUACUAUUACGUUCAUCCGCUAUUUAACAGUGUUUAUGCCGGAAGGACAGUUCGUGCAGUCGAUGCCGCCGGACCUGACACAAAGGAGCGUUUUCCGAGUAUGUCUCGAAAGGGAUGUCACGAUUUCGUGAGACGGAGGCAUCUCUGCACCACAUGGGAGCCUGUGGCAAAAUGCAGUCUGAGCAGCCCGACAAGGAAUCUGAUCUGCUUGCUUUGACAAGGUAUGGCUGGGCCUGCAGAGAAAGUGUAAGCAGACUGUGCUGUGUUGCUGAUCAGUGCUGAUCUCCACACCUGAGUUGGUCCCGCAACAUCCAGGCACCAGCGUGCUUUGCUUCAUCAUUGACAAGGUAAUAUGAUAUGGAGAGCUUGCACCUGGAUAUCAGUUUUGAGCUUGAGUUUUGAGAAAUAUGUUAAGAUAGAAGACACAAGGGUUGGCCUUGGUGAUAGAUACACGUGUGUGUUUUUUUAAAGCGCUCUUUUUGAAAUAUUCUUCGUGGACCUAUUUUCAGCAAAUGUUUACACUCCUUAAUUGCAAACUGCCAUGGAGCUGGUUCAUCUUUAAACUAGCACUCUUUCACCAAGAAAAAGCCUUAUUUAGCACAAAAUUCAUAGGAAAGGCAAGGAGGUGACAGGACAGAACACUACUAACACCAUCCAAUUUUACUGCUUGCACAGCAAUAUAAAGCGAGAGUUGAAAGGACGAGGUUUGGGUUUGCGUUCGUCGGAUCUAUGGGUUUUGGAGCCCCACACAGCUUCUUUGCUAGGCAGACAAGCUUGUGGGAUGUGCUUCUGCAAUCUGUACAGCACACUGACAGUGCAGGUGCGGGCCUCAUCUUCGGAAGGAAGUGCACUGACGGCACCAUUCACGGCGCAGAUGACUCUCAUAGAGUCAGGCAAGGCACCAGUGUUGAUGUUUGUUCCCUUGCCCAAAAGAGCAUGUUUAGGUUCAGUGUAGUUGUAAGAAGACAAGUUAAACAUUACUUUCAUGGUUUGAGUGGCCGCAUUUUUCUUAGAGCACUAAA